UACGAAGGGGGCUAGCGUUGCUCGGAAUCACUGGGCGUAAAGGGUGCGUAGGCGGGUCUUUAAGUCAGGGGUGAAAUCCUGGAGCUCAACUCCAGAACUGCCUUUGAUACUGAAGAUCUUGAGUUCGGGAGAGGUGAGUGGAACUGCAAGUGUAGAGGUGAAAUUCGUAGAUAUUCGCAAGAACACCAGUGGCGAAGGCGGCUCACUGGCCCGGUACUGACGCUGAGGUGCGAAAGCGUGGGAGCAAACAGG
rnacentral:rRNA from 1 species